AUGCUGAGGCGGUGCAAGAGUUACAGAGCCUCACCGCCAGACGGAGGGCUGGAAGCAGAGACAUCUCAGAAAACCCUGAAACAAACUUUGAUACCGGCAGGCCAACGGCGUCUGCCAGCACAUACAACAGCGGGCACUGACACGCGCAUCGGCAACACGCACACACACACACACACAGAGGGCUCGUGUUCUGCCUGCUCACCUCUCGGUCCAAUUUCUGUCAAACAUUUUUCCCUGCCUCCUUCCACCCUCCCUCCUCUCCUUUUCCUCCCUCCCCGCUUCCUCGCAAGGGGUUACGGCACAGCUGAGCAAAGCACACGGCAGGCAGGGACACGCGUGCCAGGGGCUAUCUGGCCACCUGGGCGAUGUGCUGGGGGGUGGCUGCUGCUGCUGUGCUCCACAGACCUCACUCCUCAGAGCUGUCCCAGCUUCAGCUUCAAAGAGAAGACCCUCGCACAUGCUUGCAAGAGCAAGCUAAGGAUGCGAAGCCCAGCACAGGGCUCGCAGGACUACUUCCAACUCCUCCUGUGCAUCCCGAUGCGUGCACCCCCACCAAGUCGCCCUGCCACCAGCGCCUUUCGCACCAGCUGCUCCCCGAUGCCCCGGCAGCCCCCUUUGGGGUCUCUAACUCGCAGCGGGCAGCCGGGGAAGGGCUGUCCUCCCCCUCCGGAGCCGCUUAGCCGCACAUCAGCCUUUCACCCCUUUUGUCUGCGGCGCCGGGUCGCGCUCCCGUUCAGGGGGGCUUCCAAAUUCAGUCCCCCUCCCGCAGCCCUCACCAGCACCCCGUGUCCCCCCAGCACCCCGGCGGGACCUACCGGGGCUCCCCCGCUGAGGAGGCAGCGGCGGCGUCUGCGGGAGCGGCUCAGGCAGGUGGCGGCGGGGCCGGUCCCAUCCCUGCCGCCGCCUGCGAGGGGGGCUCGGGGGCGCCUUCCCCCGGCCGCCUGCUCCGAGCGGGGCGGAGCGGGGCGGAGCGGAGCCUCCCGCAGGUGGCUCCCCAAGCCGCCACCGCCGUGCCCCGAGUCCCCGGCUCCGAGCCCUCAGCCCCAAAUCCCCAGCUCCGAGCCCCGACCCCCGGCCCCGCUGCCCCCGGCGCAGGCGCCCUGUCCCCGGCCGGCCGGGCGGGAGAAGCCGAGGUCGGGGCCCGGCCCCUCCCUCUCUCCACGCAGGCCUCCCCCACUCAGGCCGCCGCCCCACUUUUUUUUUUUUUUUUCCUGCUUUUUAAGUCUUUACACUGUUGUUUUUAUUAGUUUCGUGAAGAAAAACACCUUUUUUUACAUUCACUCUUUUUAG
rnacentral:lncRNA from 1 species